rnacentral:tRNA from 1 species
GGCCAGUUAGCUCAGUCAGUUGAGCAUAAUGCUAACAACGCUAAGGUUGCUGGUUCGAUUCCCGUUUGGUCC